rnacentral:rRNA from 1 species
CACAUGCAAGUCUCAGCACCCCAGUGAGAACACCCUUUUAACCUCCCCGAGAAUAAGGAGCCGGUAUUAGGCACAGAAUUCUUGCCCAUGAUACCUAGUUUCACCACACCCUCAAGGGUACUCAGCAGUGAUAAAGAUUAUUUAUAAGCGCCAGCUUGAAUCAGUUAAAGAAAAUAGGGCCGGCCAACCCGGUGCCAGCCGCCGCGGCUACACCGAUGGGGCUCAAAUUGAUAGAAAUCGGCGUUAAGCGUGAUUAAAGGUAAAGAAAAUUAAAGUUAAAUUUAAGCUUAGCUGUAAAAAGCUUGCCACCCAGAAAUUCAUAAACGAAAGUUACUUUAAUAUUAUGACCUUGAAUACACGACCACUUGGAAACAAACUG